rnacentral:ncRNA from 3 species
ACAUAGCAAGGAUUGACAGACUGAGAGCUCUUUCUUGAUUCUAUGGGUGGUGGUGCAUGGCCGUUCUUAGUUGGUGUAGCGAUUUUUUUGGUUAAUUCCAUUAACUAACGAGACCUUAGCCUGCUAACUAGCUAUGCGGAGCCAUCCCUCCGCAGCUAGCUUCUUAGAGGGACUAUCACCGUUUAGGCGACGGAAGUUUGAGGCAAUAUCAGGUUUGUGAUGCCCUUAGAU